GCACGGAGUUAGCCGAAUCCUUAUUCUUACGAUACCGUCAAGCUCCUACACGCAGGAGUGUUUCUUCUCGUACAAAAGCAGUUUACACACCAUAGAUGCUUCAUCCUGCACGCGGCAUGGCUGGAUCAGGCUUGCGCCCAUUGUCCAAUAUUCCUCA
rnacentral:rRNA from 1 species